UGGGGAAUAUUGCACAAUGGGCGAAAGCCUGAUGCAGCAACGCCGCGUGAGUGAUGAAGGCCUUCGGGUUGUAAAGCUCUGUCUUUUGGGACGAUAAUGAUGGUACCAAAGGAGGAAGCCACGGCUAACUACGUGCCAGCAGCCGCGGUAAUACGUAGGUGGCAAGCGUUGUCCGGAUUUACUGGGCGUAAAGGAUGCGUAGGCGGAUUUUUAAGUGAGAUGUGAAAUACCCGGGCUUAACUUGGGUGCUGCAUUUCAAACUGGGAAUCUAGAGUGCGGGAGAGGAGAAUGGAAUUCCUAGUGUAGCGGUGAAAUGCGUAGAGAUUAGGAAGAACACCAGUGGCGAAGGCGAUUCUCUGGACCGUAACUGACGCUGAGGCAUGAAAGCGUGGGUAGCAAACAGGAUUAGAUACCCUGGUAGUCCACGCCGUAAACGAUGAGUACUAGGUGUAGGAGGUAUCGACCCCUUCUGUGCCGCAGUUAACACAAUAAGUACUCCGCCUGGGAAGUACGAUCGCAAGAUUAAACUUAAAUGAAUUGACGGGGUCAUAGCUG
rnacentral:rRNA from 1 species